rnacentral:rRNA from 1 species
ACCACCAAAAUUAACUCAGAAGUAUAGAUAAUUUAGCAUUGAAUAAAUUAACGAAACUAAAUCAUUUUUCCACCUUAGUACGGGAGACGGAAAAGGUAAUUUAAGCAAUAGAGAAAGUACCGCAAGGGAAAGCUGAAAGAGUAAUGAAAUAAUUCAUUUAAGCACAAAAAAGCAGAGCUUAACCCUUGUACCUUUUGCAUCAUGAUUUAGCCAGCACUACCCAAGCAAAGUGACCUUUAGUUUGAAACCCCGAAACCAAGUGAGCUACCCCGGGACAGCCUUAGAGGGCGAACCCGUCUCUGUGGCAAAAGAGUGGGAAGAGCCCCGGGUAGAGGUGAUAAACCUACCGAACUUGGUGAUAGCUGGUUGCCUGAGAAAUGAAUAGAAGUUCAGCCUCGUAUCCCUUUAGCCAACCAAGAAAUAUCUAAAUAAGCACAAAAGAGAAAUACGAGAGUUAGUUGAAGGGGGUACAGCCCCUUUAAUAAAGGACACAACCUUAAAUAGGUGGAUAAGAGUCACAUUUUAUAAAACUAGUUGUUCCAGUGGGCCUAAAAGCAGCCAUCUGAGUAGAAAGCGUUAAAGCUCAAACAACAUGCAGUUUAUUAUACUGAUAAAUAACCCAACUCCCCUAGAAAUAUUAGGCCAUUCCAUGCCACCAUGGAAGAGACCAUGCUAAAAUGAGUAACAGGAGGAUAUGAUCCUCUCCUAGCACAAGUGUAAGCCAGAUCGGACAAACCACUGGAAAUUAACGAGCCCAGAAAAAGAGGGUAAUGUGGCCAACAAAGAAAUCAGGAAAAUACCACAGCAUUUAUAUCGUUAAACCCACACUGGAGUGCCUCCAAGGAAAGACUAAAAGAAAGGGAAGGAACUCGGCAAACACAAGCCUCGCCUGUUUACCAAAAACAUCGCCUCCUGCAAAUCCCUACGUAUAGGAGGUCCAGCCUGCCCGGUGACUACAAGUUUAACGGCCGCGGUAUUUUGACCGUGCAAAGGUAGCGCAAUCACUUGUCUUUUAAAUGAAGACCUGUAUGAAUGGCUAAACGAGGGCUUAGCUGUCUCCCUUUUCAGGUCAGUGAAAUUGAUCUACCCGUGCAG